rnacentral:tRNA from 1 species
AUUUAUAUAGUUUAAAUAUUAAAACAUUACACUUUCACUGUAAAAAUAAAAACUAUUUUUAUAAAUA